GCAAGUCGAACGGUAAGGCCUUUCGGGGUACACGAGUGGCGAACGGGUGAGUAACACGUGGGUGAUCUGCCCUGCACUUCGGGAUAAGCCUGGGAAACUGGGUCUAAUACCGGAUAUGACUACGAAUCGCAUGGUUUGUGGUGGAAAGCUUUUGCGGUGUGGGAUGGGCCCGCGGCCUAUCAGCUUGUUGGUGGGGUGAUGGCCUACCAAGGCGACGACGGGUAGCCGGCCUGAGAGGGUGUCCGGCCACACUGGGACUGAGAUACGGCCCAGACUCCUACGGGAGGCAGCAGUGGGGAAUAUUGCACAAUGGGCGCAAGCCUGAUGCAGCGACGCCGCGUGAGGGAUGACGGCCUUCGGGUUGUAAACCUCUUUCAGUAUCGACGAAGCGCAAGUGACGGUAGGUACAGAAGAAGGACCGGCCAACUACGUGCCAGCAGCCGCGGUAAUACGUAGGGUCCGAGCGUUGUCCGGAAUUACUGGGCGUAAAGAGCUCGUAGGUGGUUUGUCGCGUUGUUCGUGAAAACUCACAGCUCAACUGUGGGCGUGCGGGCGAUACGGGCAGACUGGAGUACUGCAGGGGAGACUGGAAUUCCUGGUGUAGCGGUGGAAUGCGCAGAUAUCAGGAGGAACACCGGUGGCCAAUGCGGGUCUCUGGGCAGUAACUGACGCUGAGCAGCGAAAGCGUGGGGAGCGAACAGGAUUAGAUACCCUGGUAGUCCAC
rnacentral:rRNA from 1 species